rnacentral:rRNA from 1 species
GAUGAACGCUGGCGGCGUGCCUAAUACAUGCAAGUCGAGCGAACAGAUAAGGAGCUUGCUCCUUUGACGUUAGCGGCGGACGGGUGAGUAACACGUGGGUAACCUACCUAUAAGACUGGGAUAACUUCGGGAAACCGGAGCUAAUACCGGAUAACAUUUGGAACCGCAUGGUUCUAAAGUGAAAGAUGGUUUUGCUAUCACUUAUAGAUGGACCCGCGCCGUAUUAGCUAGUUGGUAAGGUAACGGCUUACCAAGGCAACGAUACGUAGCCGACCUGGGAGGGUGAUCGGCCACACUGGAACUGAGACACGGUCCAGACUCCUACGGGAGGCAGCAGUAGGGAAUCUUCCGCAAUGGGCGAAAGCCUGACGGAGCAACGCCGCGUGAGUGAUGAAGGGUUUCGGCUCGUAAAACUCUGUUAUUAGGGAAGAACAAACGUGUAAGUAACUGUGCACGUCUUGACGGUACCUAAUCAGAAAGCCACGGCUAACUACGUG